AUUGAACGCUGGCGGCAUGCCUUACACAUGCAAGUCGAACGGCAGCACGGGUGCUUGCACCUGGUGGCGAGUGGCGAACGGGUGAGUAAUACAUCGGAACAUCUCCUGUAGUGGGGGAUAGCCCGGCGAAAGCCGGAUUAAUACCGCAUACGAUCUACGGAUGAAAGCGGGGGACCUUCGGGCCUCGCGCUAUAGGGUUGGCCGAUGGCUGAUUAGCUAGUUGGUGGGGUAAAGGCCUACCAAGGCGACGAUCAGUAGCUGGUCUGAGAGGACGACCAGCCACACUGGGACUGAGACACGGCCCAGACUCCUACGGGAGGCAGCAGUGGGGAAUUUUGGACAAUGGGCGAAAGCCUGAUCCAGCAAUGCCGCGUGUGUGAAGAAGGCCUUCGGGUUGUAAAGCACUUUUGUCCGGAAAGAAAUCCUUGGCCCUAAUACGGUCGGGGGAUGACGGUACCGGAAGAAUAAGCACCGGCUAACUACGUG
rnacentral:rRNA from 1 species